rnacentral:rRNA from 1 species
CAAUAGCGUAUAUUAAAGUUGUUGCAGUUAAAAAGCUCGUAGUCGGAUUUUGGCAUCACGCCGAACUGUCUGCCGAUUGGUAAGUACGGUUUGGCGGGUGCUCUCCUUCCGGAGGCUCGUUCCCUUCUUAACUGAAGGGUUCGUUGGUUCCGGGUCUUUUACUUUGAAAAAUUAGAGUGUUCAAAGCAGGCCUAUGCUCUGAAUAGGUUAGCAUGGAAUAAUAGAAUAGGACUUUGGUUCUAUUUUGUUGGUUUCUAGGACCGAAGUAAUGAUUAAUAGGGACAGUUGGGGGCAUCAGUAUUCUGAAGCGAGAGGUGAAAUUCUUGGACCUUCGGAAGACUAACAACUGCGAAAGCAUUUGCCUAGGAUGUUCUCUUUAAUUCAAGAACGAAAGUUAGGGGGAGUCGAAGACGAUUAGAUACCAU